ensembl:snRNA U6 U6 spliceosomal RNA
AUGCUCUCUUUGGCAGCACAUAUACUAAAAUUGGAACAAUACAGAGAAGAUUAGCACGGCCCCUGAACAAGGAUGGCAUGCAAAUUCAUGAAGCAUUCCAUAUUUUU